CAGAGAGAUGAUGGCAAUCACCUUUCGGGACCGACCUGAAAUGAAGAGAAUACGCAUUGCUGAUCACUU